GCCGGGAUAGCUCAGCUGGGAGAGCAGUAGACUGAAGCGGCUCCUUCGUGUUCUAAAGGUCCUGUGUUCAAUCCACGGUCCUGGCA